GGAAGUAGAUAGGUAACUGGUGUGCCUACCGGUCUUCAAAACCGAGUUUUGGCGUUAAGUCGUCAUGGGUGGGUUCGAUUCCCACAUACUUCCGCCA
rnacentral:tRNA from 2 species